ACGUUUGGGUAAUUGCUGCAGCAAUCACGCUGUAGAGGAAAGUCCAUGCUCGCACAGGCUGAGAUGCCUGUAGUGUUCGUGCCUGGCGAAAAAAUAAGCCAGGGCAGCAUUUGAUGCUGACGGCCGGGAAAAUGCCUAAGUUCUUAAUGAAUAUGGCGUGAAUACCUAUAAAAGUGCCACAGUGACGGAGCCUUUCCAGAAAUGGAAAGGGUGGAACGAGGUAAACCCCACGAGCGAGAAACCCAAAUUUUGGUAGGGGAACUUUCUUCCUUGGAAAUGAACGAGGGGAAAGACAGGUACAAAUUGUGCUUGUAGAUAGAUGAUUACCACCUGAGUACGAGAUGAGCAAUCGAUUGCAGUACAACGGUACAAAACAUGGCUUACAGAA
rnacentral:RNase_P_RNA from 1 species